ensembl:snRNA
GUGUUGUAUGAAAGAGAAGGUUAACAAUCCUCUUGACGAGGAUGGACGAGGCCCUCAUUCCUAACAACACACAUAUGAUUAAUGCAUUGCCACUUACUUCGUGGCAUCUAACCACUGUUUUUU